UCCAACGAGCGCCGCCAGUUGUACACGGGCCUGGGAAGCGUUUCAAUACCCGUGGCGUUUGGCGGACGGACGACACAGUCAGAUAGACGAGUUUAAACUCCUCACGCGCAAGGACGGGUUUCCGCAACUUCUCGGCCUUGUUUCAAGACGUAUUUAUUUAUAGUAUCUUCUUAGAUCGGCUUAGUGUUUUAGUCAACUAAUGUGUGCUCACUUUAACAGUGGGAAAGAAAAUUGAAUUGUUGUUAAGUGUAGAAAUAUAACGGCUUAUAAUAGAAAUAAAGCUUAGCGUGGGUUUGGCCACUAAUUGAGAUUACCUUCCUGCUUCAUCAUAACCAUUAUAAUACUGCUACAGAUCUAGAUCUAGAUCUAGAUUAGAUCUCUGACUAAUUUAUAGCUCUGGUAAAUUGUUGAGAGUGUAGCAUAGGCUGUGUUAUUCUGGUGAACCAGGAUGUUGCUCUGAUCGUGUGGAAGCAGGUGUGCUAAUUUUCUACAGGCGCAUGUUUCAUCAACCUGAGUUCAACUCGCAGUGUCAGACUGAUGUGUGGUAGUGUACGAAUUACCAACCCCAUCAACGUGGCAUUUUCCAUGUGUCUUGCCAAAGUGUGCCGCGGACAUACGUAACAUAUCUUUCCUGGUUUAUCUUUCAUAAAGAUUCGUUUCUGAAAUUAAAGUUUUGUUUGACGCUCAAACGUCUGUGAAAAGAACAACAAAAUUGACAGUGAUUCUAAAACCACCACAAUGAACGCCGAUGAUGUACCUGCAACGACACCUCUCAACAACGGAGGAAAUGCAUCCAAUGGUGAUGUGGAGGUUGGGGGUCAGCCCGUGUCGUCUUUGGACGCUGGUAUCGAGGAACGAACCCGGGUAGCCUGGGACUCAAAGCUACAGUACUUCUUCAUGGUCAUCUCUUACGCUGUGGGUCUCGGCAACGUCUGGAGAUUUCCCUACCUCACUCAGAUGCACGGCGGAGGUGAGUGGCGUUUUGAUCUAACGUAAAAUCAAGGACAUGUGGUUACUUGAGGGAGGCAUUGUGCUGCAAAGAGCGAAAUGCUCGCUGCUAAAGGGAUUUGAAAACAAAAACAACAGCAGCAACAACAACAACAUCUAACGUAAAAAGCAUGGAGUUACAAUGUUGUCUGCAUGUAGCCUGGCAAGUAUUUUUUAUGCGAGACACGUUAUGAGUUCUGGGGGUGUUUGCAACAAGGUUGCUUCGGAGUGGCCUUGGUCGUCCUCUUUUUAUCAAGCCCGAAAAUCGUGUCAAUGUGUUAUAAUCUCGAAGCGCUGGCUGUUCGAGAGGCACGCUUGUGAGGCAGUCAACCCACUUUAUCCUCUGCUGUCUUAUUUAUUGUAGGACUGGUGUUGUUCCUAGCAUGUCUGUGAUGACCUUUUUCCUGAUUAUACCCUUCCAACAAAAAAUAUUUUAAUUCUCUGUGAAAACGAGAGAAUGGCCUUCCUCCUAAAGCCCUACUUGAUUAUGAUAAGAGGCCAAUUUAUUGUUGCGGUCUCGGGAAUGUUGGUUUACAAUAGUUAUUAGAUUGAUAUUGUGUGUAAACUAAAUGAUAUAAUACACAAAACGACGCCAUUGCAGGAAAAUUGUCUGACUGUGAUCCUGAAAAUUAAAAGCCAGUCCCGAGCAUAUGGAGAUGCUCGUAAUCUUUUCUGUUUUAAACGAGUGAUUUUAACAAUGAUCCAAUUUGUUUGCUACUUCUUUAUUAGUACGUGUACAAUAUUAUAUUUGAAACAAAUGGAUAUGAGAAUUGGCAAUAUUUAUGGGGUUUUAGCAGAAUAUUUGGACGUUCUAUGACUGGGAGAGGGGCUGGGGUUAGUUGGCAAGAGAGAGGGAGACAACGCGCUGAAUGCUCAUGAGUAAGAAAAAUAUAGAGUGAGAGAGACAGACAAAUUGGUAGAAGUGUACGAAUAAUUUAAAGAAAGAAAAACAGGCACGUAGAAAA